rnacentral:lncRNA from 1 species
CCUGAUCUCGUGAUCUGCCUGCCUCGGCCUCCCAAACUGCUAGGAUUAGAGGUGUGAGCCACCGCAUCCAGCCGACCCCAGGUUUUUAAGACCCCAAUUCCUCUUUGGCCCAACAUCUCCACACCGGAGCAAGAAGGAAAGCAAGCCCACACUCCAGGGACUAGCCAGCAGAGUGGGUGGAGGCUGCUCAGCAAAUGCGCACACCCCCACCUCAGUGACCAACCCACUGGACUUGCCUUCACAGUGGCCCUGUGCGGCUUCAGGCUCCUCCCACCCCAAGUCUCUAAGAUAAAACACAGUAUCUCCCCAAGCCCCUUGGGGAGAGUAAAAGUGGAGAAACAUCUUGGAGCCUAGGAGAGGCUGGAAGAGGGUGGUUGGGGAGCUGCCCAUGGUGGGAGGAUUCCCAGGACACAUGGGUAGCAAUUAGCCUGUUGUCCUCAGCCCUCACUAGACCUAGGUUGGGAGGUCCUAGACCCUCUCCUAGGCCCCCGUGCACCUGGAUUCAGUUGGAUCUUGGGAAAGGAAGGGUUAAGGUUGGGGCCUAAUCAGGGACUGGAAUGCCAUUGAUAUGGAAAAGUGGGGGCCCCUUGGUGUGGUUACCAUCUCAAUGGCACUUUAACACCUCCAGCGAAGUCCCCUCCCCCAUCCACCACGUCUGGGAAAAGAGGUGGGGGAGGGGAACCUUCCCCACUGUACUACCCUGGGAGGAAAGGAAGCCGGCUCUCCACCAGUCCCUUCCUGGAGCGACAAAAUGGACCUCGUUUUUGUUCCGUCUAGGAGGAAAGAGGGGCAGGGAGGCUCAGGUGGGCAGAAGAAACCAGAGAUCAGCUUAGAUAGGGUCGAAGUGGGUUAACCCGCGCCUCUUAGAGGGGGAAGUGUGGCCUGACCACAAAGGAAAGGAAGGAAGUUACCAGGAGCUACCAUGCGCCAGGAACAGUGCGGGGGUGGGUGUGGGGGCAGCACACUAAGAACCCCAAGGGCAGAGUCACCCACUGCGCCCGGAGGAGCCAAGACCCAGAUCUUACAGGUAGAGAAGCUGGUCCCCUAGCUCCCAAACCAAAAGGUGCAGCUAAAUCUCGGUGUUGCAGCUGUCACCCUCACGGGCUCACUGCCCACCUUCACAGACAGGAACAAGCUCAGGGAGCUGAGCGAACCUGACCAAGUGCACAGCGGGAAGCAGGACACACCUGACACCAACCCAGACCCUGACUUUGGAGCUAGCCCCCCUAGGUGGGCUAAGAGAGCCUCCUGAACCUCUUUCCCGACAGGGCAGCGGGGCAGGGCCUCUCCUUCUUCUGGGCCUCCCAAGCACCAUCCCGUUCCUCCUUGUCCCAAAUUCUUCGAGGCUCCCAGUACAGGGAAACCUCUGCAGAAAACUGCAUUUGGAUCUGAUUACGGAAGAGGCCCCCUCCACCAGCUGGCUCACUCUCAUUGCCAUGUCCCUGGCAAGGGAAGUGCCCUUUGCUCCCCACUUGCAGGGGGCAGCGGGCUGGACUCCCAGAACCUCAUGCGAGCCCCACCCCAGGGCUCCCUGGGCAAGUCACAGCUGCCCAAACCUCAGGUGCUCCUGGCUGUAAAGCAGAGAGGAGACAGCUCUGCUUCAACCCUGGCACAUCCCUGGACUGGCACCUUGGGGAUCGAGGUUUCAGGCGGGUCCUACCUUCAACGACAAUCCAACCUCUUACAACAUAAAAACAGGGAGAUUGGAGACAGACAUGGGGAGAAGGCCAUGUGAAGACGGAGGCAGGAACUCCUGUGAUGCGGCCACAAGCCACAGAGGGCCUGGAGCCACCAGGAGCUGGAAGAGGCAGGAGGGAUCCUCCCCUAGCACCUGUGAAGGGAACAGGGUCCUGCCCACACCUUUAUUUUUGACUUUUGGCCUCCAGAAUUGUAACGAAUACAUUUCUGUUGUUUGAA